AUACGGAGGGAGCAAGCGUUAUUCGGAAUCACUGGGCGUAAAGGACGCGUAGGCGGGUUGUAAGUCAGGUGUGAAGUCCUACAGCUCAACUGUAGAACUGCACUUGAAACUACAGACCUAGAGUAUGGAAGGGGCAGAUGGAAUUAGUGGUGUAGGGGUAAAAUCCGUAGAUAUCACUAGGAAUACCGAAAGCGAAGGCGAUCUGCUGGGACAUUACUGACGCUGAGGCGUGAAAGCGUGGGGAGCAAACAGGAUUAGAAACCCCGGUAGUCC
rnacentral:rRNA from 1 species